rnacentral:rRNA from 1 species
AGUGAACGCUGGCGGUAGGCCUAACACAUGCAAGUCGAACGGCAGCACAGUAAGAGCUUGCUCUUACGGGUGGCGAGUGGCGGACGGGUGAGGAAUACAUCGGAAUCUACUUUUUCGUGGGGGAUAACGUAGGGAAACUUACGCUAAUACCGCAUACGACCUACGGGUGAAAGCAGGGGAUCUUCGGACCUUGCGCGAUUGAAUGAGCCGAUGUCGGAUUAGCUAGUUGGCGGGGUAAAGGCCCACCAAGGCGACGAUCCGUAGCUGGUCUGAGAGGAUGAUCAGCCACACUGGAACUGAGACACGGUCCAGACUCCUACGGGAGGCAGCAGUGGGGAACAUUGGACAAUGGGCGCAAGCCUGAUCCAGCCAUACCGCGUGGGUGAAGAAGGCCUUCGGGUUGUAAAGCCCUUUUGUUGGGAAAGAAAAGCAGCAGGUUAAUACGCCGCUGUUCUGACGGUACCCAAAGAAUAAGCACCGGCUAACUUCGUG